ACUCUUCUUCUCACAACUUUUCUUUCGAGCAAUUUAUCAAACACUAGUGGUGCAUUCUUGAUGGCUCAAGAGUUGGACUUGGAGCUUCACAGAUACACUGAUUCGAAGGAAGGUUUCACUCUUCUUAUACCCUCUUCUUGGACUAAGGUUGAUAAAGCUGGGGAAACUGCUUUGUUUCAAGAUGCAAGUAUGGGGAGCAACAACAUUGGGGUUGUCGUGAACCCGGUUCGUCUUGCAAACCUUGGAGACUUCAGGAGCCCCGAGUUUGUAGCUGAUAAGCAUUUGCAAGCAGAAAGGUGUAAGGAAAUCAAGAAAGAAGAAGAAGAAGAAGAAGAAGAAGGAGGAGAAGAAGAGAAGAAGAAGAAUGAGUGAAGAGCAAUCAGAUUCUGCAAUGAUGGAUCUGUGGGAUAUGAUGGACCCGUGGGAUAUGAUAGACCUGGAUGCCGAUGAACCACCGCAGUUUCACUUUGAGUUUCCGUCUCUGCCUGAGCCGGUCUGGAAUGGGGACGAAAACAAGAUUUUUGCUGCCAAUGUAGGUGGUUAUCAACCACCUCAGCCCCAGCCCCAGCCGUGUGCCAUGGACGUGAGUGGUAAUCAACCUCCUCAGCCGGUUAUUCAUGAGUGUUUGCCGGAAGCUACGGAGAACCGCCGGCGGGAGGAGGAAGCUAUGAAGAUGACAUAGCAGUAUUAUGGAAGCCCAUUAUCUGGUUAUCAACCAUUUCUGUCUGAGCCUCAGCCGUUUGCCAUUGACGAAAAUGUCGUGUUUAAGAAAAGGAAUCCAAGCAAGAAGCUAAUUAAGAAGACGACGAAAAUACUUAAAGCAAGAAUGAGUCAAGAGAAUUCACAUAUGUUGAAGAUGAUAGAGGCGGAGCUGUUUGCCGACGACCACAAUGUGGGUGGUAAUCCACCGCCUCAGCUUCAGCCUCAGCUUGAUUGGGAUAUGGAGAAGAUGUGACGUCGGUGGUCAUCAACCACUUCAACCUCAACUUCAGCCCAAGCUGCAGUCGGAUAAUCAGCCAUCUCAUUCUUGGGACGACAACAAGUAGUUUGAUGAGUGUUUGCCGGAAGCUAUGGAGAACCGUCGGCGGGAGGCGGAAGCUAUGAAGAUGACAGAGCAGUCGGAUAAUCAACCACCUCAUUCUUGGGACUACAAUAAACAUUUCGAUGAGUGUUUGCCGGAAGCUAUGGAGAAUCGCCGGCAGGAGGCGGAAGCUAUGAAGAUGACACAGCACUAUUAUGGAAGCCCAUUAUCUGGUUAUCAACCACUUCAGUCUGAGCCUCAGCCGUGUGCCAUUGACGUGUGUGGUAAUCAACCACCUCAGCUACUGUCUCAGCCUCAGCCUCAGCCUCGUCCUUGGUCUCGGCCACUUCAGUCUGAGCCUCAACUGAUCAUCAUCACAGCAAGGAGGUAGUGCCUGCUGCAGAGGAGGAGGUAGUGCCGGCCGCAGAGGAGGAGGCAGCACCAACAAAGAGUGGAUCUCAUUGGACCCCAGAUGAGCAUAGGUUAUUUCUUAGAGGGUACCAACAAGAAGGUUUACACUGGACAAGAAUUUCAGAAUAUUAUGUCAAAACAAAAACUCCUAGUCAAAUUUCCAGUCAUGCUCAGAAAUAUUUUUUACAUCAAAAAGAAUUAGCAGAAGGAAAAAAGCUAAGGAAAAGCAUUUUUGAUGUAAUUUGAUCAUCUUAAAUAAUUUUGGAAAAACGACAGCAGAUGUCACCUUGCUUUUCACAUGAACUAUUUCUGUUGGAGGACUUUCUGAGUUUACUGGCGAUCAUUUUAAUUCAAAGAUGGUGAAUGACAAAGUGCAUGGUGUUCUUCUACAUCACAAGGCUAGGAAUGAGCGGUCUCCUGUCACAUUUGCAAUUGCAGCAGCGGAGACAGAGGAUGUGCAUAUAUCAGUAUGUCCUGUCUUUGUUAUAUCUGGUGCUCACAAGGGUAUCUCGGCUAAGGAUAUGUGGAAUGAAAUUAAACAGCAUGGGUCUUUUGACCGCCUGAAUAUCUUUGAAACUGCCAUGCCUUCAGAACCAGGAUCGUCAAUUGAACUCUUAAAAAAGAGUUGUGUUCCAAUGUGGUAGCAGGCACAGUCAUGUUUCCAGAUGCAGCAUUCAGAGGAUUGUUUGUGGUAUAACCAUUUUGGAUGGUGUUGAUGUGAUGACGUCGUUCAUCAUCUUGUGGAAGUGUUCUUGCAGUUGCGCCGGGGUCUUUCCAAGGAGACGAGCAGCCACCACACUCCAGCGGUUGUGUAUAGCAUCCCGAAAACAAUUGGCAACAACCGACUCAAAAGCUUUAGGUUGAGGCAGAGGCUGGAGCUGAGGCUGCAAUUGAGGUGGUUGAUAACCACCCGUGCCAGCGAAAAACUGAGGCCGAGGCCAAGGCUGAGACCGAGACCAAGGCUAGGCUGAGACUGAUGAGGUGGUUGAUAACCACAUAUAUCAGCGAAAAACCGAGGCUGGGGAUGAGACUAAGGACGAGGCCGAGACCAAGGCUGAGGCUGAAGUGGCCGAGACCAAGGCUGGGGCUGAGGCUGAGGUGGAUUAAUAGACACGUCAAUGGCACACGGCUGAGGCUCAGACUGAAGUGGCCGAGACCAAGGAUGAGGCUGAGGCUGAGACGGUAGCUGAGGUGGUUGAUAACCACACACGUCAAUGGCACACGGCUGAGGCUCAGACUGAAGUGGUUGAUAACCAGAUAAUGGGCUUCCAUAAUAGUGCUCUGUCAUCUUCAUAGCUUCCGCCUCCCGCCGGCGGUUCUCCAUAGCUUCCGGCAAACACUCAUCGAACUGUUUGUUGUAGUCCCAAGAAUGAGGUGGUUGAUUAUCCGACUGCUCUGUCAUUUUCAUAGCUUCCGCCUCCUGCCGGCAAUUCUCCAUAGCUUCCGGCAAACACUCAUCGAACUGUUUGUUGUCGUCCCAAAAAUGAGAUGGUUGAUUAUCCGACUGCAGCUUGGGCUGAAGUUGAGGUUGAAGUGGUUGAUAACCACCGACGUCACAUCUUCUCCAUAUCCCAAUCAGGCUGAGGCUGAAGCUGAGGCGGUGGAUUACCACCCAAAUUGUGGUCGUCGGCAAACAGCUCCGCUUCUAUCAUCUUCAACAUAUGUGAAUUCUCUUGACUCAUUCUUGCUUUAAGUAUUUUCGUCGUCUUAAUUAGUAUUUUGUACUUCCUGAACAUGAGGAGAAUAAUAGACAUUUGAUUAUUCCCUAGAAUCAGAGACAAUUAUAAACACAGAAGGAACAUUUCACUA